rnacentral:rRNA from 1 species
CGUGCCAGCAGCCGCGGUAAGACGUAGGACGCGAGCGUUAUCCGGAUUUACUGGGCGUAAAGCGUGUGUAGGCGGCGUGACAAGUUGGGCGUGAAAGCCCCGUGCUCAACGCGGGGAGGCCGCACAAUACUGUCAGGCUAGAGGGCAUCAGAGGGGUGUGGAAUUCCCGGAGUAGCGGUAAAAUGCGCAGAUAUCGGGAGGAACACCGGUGGCGAAAGCGGCACCCUGGGGUGCACCUGACGCUGAGAGACGACAGCUAGGGGAGCGAACAGGAUUAGAGACCCUGGUAGUCCUAGCCGUAAACGAUGGAUGCUAGGUGUGGGAGUGAAGAACUUCUGUGCCGCAGCGAACGCGAUAAGCAUCCCGCCUGGGGAGUACGGCCGCAAGGUUAAAACUCAAACGAAUUGACGGGGACCCGCACAAGCAGCGGAGCGUGUGGUUUAAUUCGAUGCUACACGAAGAACCUUACCUGGGAUUGACAUAUGGGUGGUAGUGAGCCGAAAGGCAAGCGACCCUUCGGGGAGCCUAUACAGGUGCUGCAUGGCUGUCGUCAGCUCGUGCCGUGAGGUGUCGGGUUAAGUCCCGUAACGAGCGCAACCCCUGUCCUUAGUUACAAGUGUCUAAGGGGACUGCCGGCGGGAAGCCGGAGGAAGGUGGGGAUGACGUCAAGUCAGCAUGGCCCUUAUAUCCAGGGCGACACACACGCUACAAUGGUCGGUACAGAGGGCAGCGAAGCCGCGAGGUGGAGCGAAACCCAGAAAGCCGGUCGUAGUUCGGAUUGCAGGCUGCAACUCGCCUGCAUGAAGUUG